UGCACGGUGGUGCAGUGGGUAGCACUGUCGCCUCACGGCUAGAAGGUCGUGGGUUCAAUUCUCCUCGUGUCC
rnacentral:tRNA from 1 species